rnacentral:misc_RNA from 1 species
GAUGAAGAACGUAGCGAAAUGCGAUAAGUAAUGUGAAUUGCAGAAUUCAGUGAAUCAUCGAAUCUUUGAACGCAUCUUGCGCUCCUUGGUAUUCUGAGGAGCAUGCCUGUUUGAGUGUCAUUAAAUUCUCAACUACACUGACUUUGAAUUGGUGUGGCUUGGAUUUGGGGGGAAAAUUGUUGUGGGCUUUUUGUAUAGUCUGCUCCCCUGAAAUUGAUUAGCGGUACCUUUGCGGAACUGUCUACAGGUGUGAUAAUUAUCUACAUCUUAGACAUCUGCUGGAAUGCUGCUUUCUAAACCUUACUUGUAUUGACAAUCUUGACCUCAAAUCAGGUAGGACUACCCGCUGAACUUAAGCAUAUCAAUAAGCGGAGGA